GUUUCUCACCAGGCCAUCUGUUGCAUUGUGAGAUUGUGACAUCAGUUGCCUGUAGAAAUGCUUGCGAUAAGGAGGCCCUUAACUAACUUCCUUUUGUACCUGUGACAAUGCAGGUGGCCUCCAACCCAAGGUGUGCUGAAAUUUAUAGCAAUGACCAUUGAGAAGACCAAGACCAUUCACUCAGGGAGAAGCCAGCUGCCGUGUUGUAAGCAGUCCCGUGGACAGAUUUUGGGGCCCCUCUCCCUGGUCUCACAGGCGAAUCUAGCAAGCCACCUGCAUAGGUCUUAAGUCAUUACAAUAAAAUCCACGUUGUCCUGUGCAGCAGCCACACAGCCCAUCUUCAGCUUGUGUCAAAAUGACCUUGCAACCCCCCACCUCAUGACUGAAGACGCCAGCUGGACAGAUCCACAACAGGAACAGACAAGGGGGUACCUCGCUCUCACAUUACCCAGCUGUGUUUCUUAGAGACUGGGGGAAUAAUUAACAACCCUGGUCCUUGCCUCCCUCCACACAUAGAUAACAUCAGCAUCACUGAACUCGUUUCAUGUGUAACCAGGGAAAUCUUGUUUAUGUUACCUUCAACGUGUAAUGUAGAGAAAAGCCCAGAUGUACUCAAUCUGGGUUUUUUUGAAAUCCAGUUGUGGGUUUUUUUUUUCCUUUUCCUCUUCCCUGCACAUGCACUGUUUUGUGAAAGAGAUAUAAGCAGCACUUAAACUCACGUACUUCGGAGCAGUUCCAUCAGAGCGCUCUGCUGAACUGUUUUUCCCGGGGUUGGAACUCCGCACGCUGAUUACUGAAUAAACUCCUUCACUAAUAUCACCCAGACUCUUUGUUUCAGCCAACAGUCCUAGGGAGAUUUCCACGUGCUGAGGAACUGAGGCAUCCUGCUAACAACCACGUGGAGCCUUCAGAUGACGGCAGCCUUGGCCAACAUUUGAGCUGCAAGCCCCUGAGAGACCCUGAGCCAGAACCACAGCUAAGCUGCUCCUGGAUUCCUGCUCCACGGAAACUGAGCUGGAAAUAUUUGUGGUUUUAAACUGCUAAAUUUGGAC
rnacentral:lncRNA from 1 species